rnacentral:rRNA from 1 species
UACGGAAGGUCCGGGCGUUAUCCGGAUUUAUUGGGUUUAAAGGGAGCGUAGGCUGCCCUUCAAGCGUGUUGUGAAACCCCGAUGCUCAACAUCGGACGUGCAGCGCGAACUGUAGGGCUUGAGCACGCGCGACGUGGGCGGAAUUUGUGGUGUAGCGGUGAAAUGCAUAGAUAUCACGAAGAACCCCGAUUGCGAAGGCAGCUCACGAGAGCGUGACUGACGCUGAAGCUCGAAAGUGCGGGAAUCAAACAGG